GGGGAUCUAGCUCAGCGGUAGAGCGCUUGCCUAGCAAGCGCAAGGCCCUGGGUUCGGUCCCCA
rnacentral:tRNA from 1 species